GACGAACGCUGGCGGCGUGCUUAACACAUGCAAGUCGAACGGAAAGGCCCUGCUUUUGUGGGGUGCUCGAGUGGCGAACGGGUGAGUAACACGUGAGUAACCUGCCCUUGACUUUGGGAUAACUUCAGGAAACUGGGGCUAAUACCGGAUAGGAGCUCCUGCUGCAUGGUGGGGGUUGGAAAGUUUCGGCGGUUGGGGAUGGACUCGCGGCUUAUCAGCUUGUUGGUGGGGUAGUGGCUUACCAAGGCUUUGACGGGUAGCCGGCCUGAGAGGGUGACCGGCCACAUUGGGACUGAGAUACGGCCCAGACUCCUACCGGAGGCAGCAGUGGGGAAUAUUGCACAAUGGGCGGAAGCCUGAUGCAGCAACGCCGCGUGCGGUAUGACGGCCUUCGGUUUGUAAUCCGCUUUCGCCUGUGACGAAGCGUGAGUGACGGUAAUGGGUAAAGAAGCACCGGCUAACUACGUG
rnacentral:rRNA from 1 species